rnacentral:lncRNA from 1 species
UACUAUUUAAUGCCUUGUUGGCCAAGUAACACUGUUAACUUUUCUAAAAUUCCAAUUAAACCCUAUCUAGAAGUUUCUAGGAAACUCUAUUGUCAGUUACUACAAGAUUCUCCACUUUGGAACACCUAAAAUACCCUUGAACUAUGUCUGAAAUCACUAACCUAUAUCACACUGACCCUAGUCCUCUUAAGCUUGGUCAGAUGACCAUGGUUAAUUACUCACCAAUCAUGAAUCCGAAUUAAAUACACAAAAGUAUGAACCAAGUGGAAUUACCGUUAGUUCUAAGCACAUUGAAAGGAUAAUCAGAAGAAAUCAAAUUUGACUGAACUAAUCAGUAAAAGGUGAAAAAUG